AGUGAACGCUGGCGGUAGGCCUAACACAUGCAAGUCGAACGGCAGCACAGUAAGAGCUUGCUCUUACGGGUGGCGAGUGGCGGACGGGUGAGGAAUACAUCGGAAUCUACUUUUUCGUGGGGGAUAACGUAGGGAAACUUACGCUAAUACCGCAUACGACCUACGGGUGAAAGCAGGGGAUCUUCGGACCUUGCGCGAUUGAAUGAGCCGAUGUCGGAUUAGCUAGUUGGCGGGGUAAAGGCCCACCAAGGCGACGAUCCGUAGCUGGUCUGAGAGGAUGAUCAGCCACACUGGAACUGAGACACGGUCCAGACUCCUACGGGAGGCAGCAGUGGGGAAUAUUGGACAAGGGGCGCAAGCCUGAUCCAGCCAUACCGCGUGGGUGAAGAAGGCCUUCGGGUUGUAAAGCCCUUUUGUUGGGAAAGAAAAGCAGCAGGUUAAUACCCCGCUGUUCUGACGGUGCCCAAAGAAUAAGCACCGGCUAACUUCGUG
rnacentral:rRNA from 1 species